rnacentral:rRNA from 1 species
AGAGUUUGAUCAUGGCUCAGGACGAACGCUAGCUACAGGCUUAACACAUGCAAGUCGCGGGGCAGCAUGAAUUUAGCUUGCUAAAUUUGAUGGCGACCGGCGCACGGGUGAGUAACGCGUAUCCAACCUUCCCCUGUCCACGGGAUAGCCCGUCGAAAGGCGGAUUAGUACCGUAUGAGGUCACAUGACGGCAUCAGAGUGUGACGAAAGGUUUGGCGGACAGGGAUGGGGAUGCGUCCGAUUAGCUUGUUGGCGGGGUAACGGCCCACCAAGGCAACGAUCGGUAGGGGUUCUGAGAGGAAGGUCCCCCACAUUGGAACUGAGACACGGUCCAAACUCCUACGGGAGGCAGCAGUGAGGAAUAUUGGUCAAUGGGCGAGAGCCUGAACCAGCCAAGUAGCGUGCAGGAUGACGGCCCUAUGGGUUGUAAACUGCUUUUAUGCGGGGAUAACGUGCACCACGUGUGGUGUAUUGCAGGUACCGCAUGAAUAAGGACCGGCUAAUUCCGUGCCAGCAGCCGCGGUAAUACGGAAGGUCCGGGCGUUAUCCGGAUUUAUUGGGUUUAAAGGGAGCGUAGGCCGCUGUUUAAGCGUGUUGUGAAAAACCGGGGCUCAACUCCGGUCGUGCAGCGCGAACUGGACGGCUUGAGUGCGCGGUAAGUGGGCGGAAUUUGUGGUGUAGCGGUGAAAUGCUUAGAUAUCACGAAGAACUCCGAUUGCGAAGGCAGCUCACUGUAGCGCAACUGACGCUGAAGCUCGAAAGUGCGGGUAUCGAACAGGAUUAGAUACCCUGGUAGUCCGCACGGUAAACGAUGGAUGCCCGCUGUUCCGACUAUUAGUUGGAGUGGCCAAGCGA